rnacentral:rRNA from 1 species
UACAGAGGUCUCAAGCGUUUGUUCGGAUUCAUUGGGCGUAAAGGGUGCGUAGGUGGCGCUGUAAGUCGGGUGUGAAAUUUCGGAGCUUAACUCCGAAACUGCAUUCGAUACUGCGGUGCUUGAGGACUGGAGAGGAGACUGGAAUUCAUGGUGUAGCAGUGAAAUGCGUAGAUAUCGGGAGGAACACCGGUGGCGAAGGCGGUUCUACUGGGCCGUG